rnacentral:rRNA from 1 species
UACAGAGGGUGCGAGCGUUAAUCGGAAUUACUGGGCGUAAGGCGUGCGUAGGCGGAUAUUUAAGUCGGAUGUGAAAUCCCCGGGCUUAACCUGGGAACUGCCUUUGUGACUGCAAGGCUUGAGUGCGGCAGAGGGGGAUGGAAUUCCGCGUGUAGCAGUGAAAUGCGUAGAUAUGCGGAGGAACACCGAUGGCGAAGGCAAUCCCCUGGGCCUGCACUGACGCUGAGGCGCGAAAGCGUGGGUAGCAAACGGG